rnacentral:rRNA from 1 species
CGACGAGUUUGAUCCUGGCUCAGGACGAACGCUUGCGGCGUGCCUAAGAAAUGCAAGUCGAAACGGGGACUUCGGUCCUAGUGGCGAACGGUCGCGUAACACGUAAGCAACCUGCCCUGAAGAGGGGGACAACAUCCCGAAAGGGUGCUAAUACCGCAUGUGGUCACGGAGUCGGCAUCGACUUGUGUCUAAAGAUUUAUCGCUUCAGGAUGGGCUUGCGG